rnacentral:rRNA from 1 species
AUUGAACGCUGGCGGCAGGCCUAACACAUGCAAGUCGAGCGAGCGGCGGACUGGUGAGUAAUGGCUGAAAAACUGCCUGAUGGAGGGGGAUAACUAGUGGAAACGGUAGCUAAUACCGCAUACAGUCAGUUGUGCCCAGAUGGGAUUAGCUAGUAGGUGGGGUAAAGGCUAACCGAGGGGACGAUCCCUAGCUGGUCUGAGAGGAUGACCAGCCACACUGGAACUGAGACACGGGCCAGACUCCUACGGGAGGCAGCAGUGGGGAAUAUUGCACAAUGGGCGCAAGCCUGAUGCAGCCAUGCCGCGUGUAUGAAGAAGGCCUUCGGGUUGUAAAGUACUUUCAUCGGGGAGGCGUUACCCGCAGAAGAAGCACCGGCUAACUCCGUGCCAGCAGCCGCGGUAAUUC